rnacentral:rRNA from 1 species
UACGGGGGGAGCAAGCGUUGUUCGGAUUUACUGGGCGUAAAGGGCGCGUAGGCGGCCACCGCAAGUCGACUGUGAAAUCUCCGGGCUUAACCCGGAAAGGUCAGCCGAUACUGCGGGGCUAGAGUGCAGAAGGGGCAACUGGAAUUCUCGGUGUAGCGGUGAAAUGCGUAGAUAUUGAGAGGAACACCUGCGGCGAAGGCGGGUUGCUGGGCUGACACUGACGCUGAUGCGCGAAAGCUAGGGGAGCGAACGGG